rnacentral:rRNA from 1 species
GAUGAACGCUGGCGGCGUGCUUAACACAUGCAAGUCGAACGGGAAUUAUUUUAUUGAAACUUCGGUCGAUUUAAUUUAAUUCUAGUGGCGGACGGGUGAGUAACGCGUGGGUAACCUGCCUUAUACAGGGGGAUAACAGUCAGAAAUGGCUGCUAAUACCGCAUAAGCGCACAGAGCUGCAUGGCUCAGUGUGAAAAACUCCGGUGGUAUAAGAUGGACCCGCGUUGGAUUAGCUUGUUGGCAGGGUAACGGCCUACCAAGGCGACGAUCCAUAGCCGGCCUGAGAGGGUGAACGGCCACAUUGGGACUGAGACACGGCCCAGACUCUACGGGAGGCAGCAGUGGGGAAUAUUGCACAAUGGGGGAAACCCUGAUGCAGCGACGCCGCGUGAAGGAAGAAGUAUCUCGGUAUGUAAACUUCUAUCAGCAGGGAAGAUAGUGACGGUACCUGACGAAGAAGCCCCGGCUAACUACGUG